GCCCACGUGGUGAAAUUGGUAGACACGCCAUCUUGAGGGGGUGGUGUUCGUAAGGACGUGCUGGUUCGAAUCCAGUCGUGGGCACCA
rnacentral:tRNA from 2 species